rnacentral:pre_miRNA from 1 species
CUUGGUCGCCCCGGCGAAGGCCGGGGCCGCUGGGCGAUUUGGCAAACCGGCUGCCCCAAACGCAGCGGCCCCGGCCUUCGCCGGGGCGACGAGA